UCUGGACUAGAAUCAAUUAAGAAUGGAGUUGUCUUUUUAAAAAAAUGUAUUUUUGUUUACAUCACAGCCCUUUAGCAGUUUCCACACAUUGUUUAAGUUGCUGAGUACUAAAUUAUAACUCUUAUGUUACCAGGAAUACAAGAAACUUUAAGCAAGGAAUUCCAGGAUCGAGGCAACAAUAUCAUGGUAUCUCUCAUCAUCCUUCAUCCCCGGAGUGCGGAUGAGGUGGUUCUGCUCGCCCCUCCAGUCACCAAAGCGACGGAAGAAGUAGUUGGAGAGGAACCGGUUGAUUGGAUCCCGGAUUAUGUUGAUAUAGACCGGCUGCUCUAUCCUGAACCUGACAAAGACAAAUAAAAACAAUGACAUAUUCCACUGUUUCUGUGGUCCGUGUCCCAGCUAACUCCACUGCUGCUCUGGGGAGGGUGUAGACAGCCACGUGCCACUGCUACCGCCAUGUUGUUGCCAGCUGCUUCUUUUCUUCUGCCAGUAAGAAUACGCAACGGUCCAGUUUGUUUCAUCCUAUUCCCCAGCAUCCUAAGCUCCACGUCGAAUAAACCCCAACCAACACGGAAAGCAUUGGGGCUGCAGAGACGGUGACCUUAUCCCUCACUGGCUUCCCAUCAAAAAGCAAUACCCAGUGUACUAAUCAGAAAGCACACCCAAGCCAGAGGUGCUGCUAACGUUAAUUGAACCUGCGUCUCCACAGUGAUGCGUCCCUGCUGCACACAUUACACCAGCUCACAGGCAGGAAUAAGGCCAAGCACAGAACAAAACUGAAGACAAGGGGAAAAGGAGUGAUACACGUGGAGAGGCAGAAGAAGAGGAGGCUUCAGCAGCAGCUGUGUAAGGGACACCUCAUUUUGUAGAGGCUCUCAAAGUCUUGGAUACAUAGAGGUGGAUGCUGUCAUUGGUGGUCAGAGCAGUCAGAACCUCCCAGUCGACCAUACUAAAAUGCUCACAUCAAACAAUAUUCUAUCUACGCUGUAAUCAUCGAUGACAUUGUUGGAAGGUGGAGGUGUGGGAGUAGGGACCUGUGGACCGGGGACAACUGGCUUGAUGCAGGAUGCAGGAAAAGUGGGAUGAAUAUGAAAAUAAUAAGGGACCUUCAGUAAGACAAUAAUACAACAAUACUUUCAAGGUCCACUUCUGUGUGGCAGCCACUCCAUUUUUUUGGACAUUCAGUGCCAGGUGUUUUUUUUUGAAAGAAAAUAAAGCAGUGGCUUCCUUGUGUUUAGUAUUCCUCAAUCUCACCCUUUGCCCAGACUGUAGCAAGAGUAGAGCCUGUGAGAGAAUCAAUAGCACAUAGAGUCUGUAGGAAAGACCUAUGGUCACAAAACCUUUAUUGGAUAUAUUUCAGAUUGGUGUACUGAAAAUGAACUCUGGAGAAAUUGAGAAACUUCUUCAAAGCAGUAAGAGCAGAAGGGGACACCACCCACGCAAGUGGAAACAUAGUGGAUGAACUUAUAAGUGAUUUAUGCAUCACAGGGGACAACUGUAACUGGAUCAUUUCUAGGUGAAUGGCUGGCAAGUUCUUUUUUUUCCACCAUUGCUGGAGCAGCUGGAUGUACCAAGCCGAUGAGCCAAAACACUAUCAAUAAAGAAACACCAAGAGAAAACGUCUGGUUAUUCAGAGGAGACAGAACAGAGGGAUUGAUUGAACUAAUCUGUCAUUUAGAAAGCUUGGAAAAGUGGUAAAAAUGUCAAUAUCGAAAAUCUGUGUGUCACUUGCAGACUGCAUCUUUAAAGUCCCAGGGUUCCAUUUAUUCUCUUAAAUCAAAGGUCACUACUGUAUGAGCACCACAAACUCUUUCUUAAUGCUGUUAAUCUUUCUAUAAAAAAUUAGGCUAGUUUCCUUCAUACCUGAUUCUGCUAUAAAGGCCAUAUUCUGUGGUGUCCUGUCUUUACAGACUGAAUCACUCUUUUUAUAGAGACCUCUCUGUCAAACGGCAUUGAUCUGAGGAACUGUUUGAAUGUGCUGCUCUUAUAAACUAUGUGCAGGCACAUGCUACGUCAUAGCAGGACUAUUUGGAUAGCAACAGUAAUAUGUAUACUUGUUUAUGUACACAGGGCAGUUAAUCUGAGGCCCCAGUCAGAUUGGGGCUUCACACUCUCCCUCUCCUCUAUAAACUCAGUACAUUUCCACUCACUCUGCUUCCACUUUCUGGGAUGACUCCUACUAUAAAGUAUAAAUUUGAAAAUUUUCAUUAGCACUGUAGAGUUUAUUUCACCACGCCGGGUCUCUGCUCAGCUCUACACUCUCUGUCUCUAUUAAUCCAUUUCAAUUCAGCAUUAAAAACAAGUUUAUUUUGAGCAAACUGCUCCCCCUUGACCAUUAGUCCAGACCAAUUAGCCAGGAGCUAACCCUUGAUGUACCCUCCCCCACACACAGGUUGAUGUGCAGACCCUGAACACAUUUGGCACAUUUGGUGAGUGUGUGUGUGUGUGUGUGUGUGUGUGUGUGUGUGUGUGUGUGUGUGUGUGUGUGUGUGUGUGUGUGUUGUGUGUGUGUGUGUGUGUGUGUGUGUGUGUGUCUUUUCUGACCCACCCCUCUGGUGUGUCUGGCCAGACACCCCUUUCAUUUACCAGGGAGAACUGCAGGGAGACAGAGGGAAAGUGGAGGACAGUCUGAGAUUCCAGGCAUACCUGCAACCUCCCCGACCCCCACUCCCCUCCUUCCUGAGCCCCCGUGGCGUCCUCACAGGGUUCAUCAAGGGAAACGGAGGAAGAGCCAAAAACCACAGAAAGCUUUGACUGCUGCCCUGCAUUCAACUCAGUUCAAUUUAUCUCCGUGUCUCACAUUUGAAAAUCAAUAUGAGCCUGAACAAUCAACACCUGCGGUAGAAGUUCAUUCUAGUUAUUACAGCAGCUGCCCAUACAUAAUUCAUCUAUCUGUUUAAAGAAUCCUUAUGCACAGGAAGUGAGAGCUUUACAUUAAAAUUAAUAUCCUCAAUUUGAAAAAAAGUUUAAUAAAGUUUUAGCAGCCACUUCCAACUAAAUUUCAACUUCUUCUAGCACCCAAGCCAAUCCAAUUUUCAGUAAGUGACCAAAAGCAAACUGCUCCUUUGAGUGUAGCUGUUUAGACGCUACUAGGGAAUUACUAUUUACAGUCUUCGCUUGUACUGGGGCCAGACGCCUCUUGGUGUUUGUGAAUCUGUGGCUAAGUGAUGCAGAUACACAAGGUUCAUGGCUGUGGAGCAUCUGUCUGCUGGUAAACAUUUUUGGUACAGUAAGAGGGAGGAAACAGGAUCCCACAUUAAUGCAGACAUACACACAAUAAAGAUGCUGUUUUUCUGUUUCUGGAGGUUUUCAAGGAAGUCUUUUUUCAUUUUUUUUCUCCAGGAAAUGUCUUAAACCUCUCUCUCCCACUAAACCUGUUCCCCCGGUACUGAAAAGGACAGAUGGGUUACUAUGCUAUACGCUUCAAAUCUGCAGAGGCUCUGCAAAGUUCCAGACGAAUAAGGCACCUUCACUUUUUGGCAACCCACGAACAAGGCAUCAACCCCGGGCAAACCCAUUAGCGGACUACUGGGAGAGCAAGCAGGAAGAUGGUCCAAAAACUGCAACCCUGAGCCAGAACCACUACUGAUGAGACCAGCAUCUCUAAACUUAGGCGAUGUGUGUCUGCAUCUGCAUAAGUCAACACACACAAGGCUACACAUGCAAACAAACACACAAAGAUGGAGACGCACUUUACAGAAUCACAGACGAACGCAAGCACAGACAUACACUCUAAAACAGACCCCCCUUGCAGACACUGGAAUGCAGACUAUUUCUGAGAAGCAUUGCUUGAGACCAUUCACAGAGAUGUUUUAUGUCCAGAAAAUUAAUGAGUCUAAUGGUGUUCUGCCACUCUGUGUGCAGCCAGCAUUUCAGGGUUUGAUGAAUGGGUAAACAAGUCGCUGUUUCAAUAUUGACUUUCAACAUUUACAUUAAAUCGGUCAAUAAUGGUUAUACAUAUUUAGCAUCUCCUGACCAUUCACAAAUGUUCAGCUUAUUCCCAAAAGGUUGCUGUCAAUAGCGGCAUGUGAGGAUGCGAGUCAUUGCUGCAACACUGCAACAAGUUCUCACCCAGACGACUAAAGAAGGUGUUGCAAUAUUUGGAAAUGUCAUUGUCAAAAGUGUAUAUGAGGAAGUUUGGCCUCACACUGGUUCUGAGGAAUCAAUUAAUUUCCAUAUUCAGUUCUAUUGAAAAUGAUUGAUCUCAGCUGGGAAAUUCUCCUUUAUUCUACCCCCAACAGGAAAUGUCAGACAUUACAUUAAGUCGUGUAUGUAAGCACAGUUUGGAGGUACAGAUAAAAUUGAGUUUUUCCAAAAUGCUACUUUUAGUAUUUAUAUUUGACUACAUUUCAAAGGGAAAUAUUUUAUUUUUAUUCUACUAAUGAAUAUCAUACAUAAUUAAAAAGGAAACUCAAUAACAGUAUAUAAAGUAAUUAAAACCACCCUUUCCUCAACAAACUACAACAAAAAAAUGCUGCAUCAAUGUAAAUUUAUAAGUAAUAAUAAUCCAAUGAUAACAGUUUAGAGUUGAGAAUUCAUUUGCACAGUUCAUAAAACAAAAAAACGCAAUAUAUUAAUGGGGAAAAAAGGAUUGUGUUAGAAAUUACUAUACCAUAUGAAUUAUCAAACAGUCUAAAGGGGCCAUUGCACAGUACUUUUACUUUAAAUAUUUGUUUGCAUUUUACUGAUAAUACUGCUGAACCUCUACCUACAGGAAAGUAAAAAAAUUUUGAAAAAUUUGCUUGUAACAGAGUAUGUUUACACUAUUGGUACUUUUAUGUAACUAAAACACCUGAAUACACAUUAUUUGUCACAAAAAUGUCAUAGGUUGGUAAGGUAUAGAAUGUCAAACUUCAUAAUAUAGUAAGGCAUAAAAAGUCAUAAAAUAUUAUAAAGAAAGGCAUAAAAAGUCAUAAAAAUAUAAUAUAGUAAAUCAUAAAAAAUAUUUUAAAAAACAUAGUAUAGUACGGCUAAAAAGUCAUAAAAUUGUCAUAGAAUAGUAAGGCAUAAAAAGACAUGAAAACCUAACAAUAAAAAAUUGAUCAAAAAAAAAAGAAAAGAAAAUGUCAUGUAUACUAUGUCAUAAAAACUCAUAAAAAUGUCAUAUUAUAGUAAGGCAUAAAAAGUCAUAAAAAUAUCAUAGUAUAGUAAGGCAUUAAAAUGUCAUAGUAUAGUAAGGCAUAAAAAGUCAUAAAAAUAUCAUAGUAUAGUAAGGCAUUAAAACGUCAUAGUAAAGUAAGGCAUAAAAAGUCAUAAAAAUAUCAUAGUAUAGUAAGGCAUAAAAAGUCAUAAAAACGUCAUAGUAUAGUAAGGCAUGAAAAUUCCUAAAAACGUCAUAGUAUAAUAAGGCAUGAAAAUUCCUAAAAAUGUCAUAUGAUACUAAGGCAUAAAAUGUCAUAAAAACGUCAUAUUAUAGUAAGGCAUAAAAAGUCAUAAAAAUAUCAUAGUAUAGUAAGGCAUUAAAACGUCAUAGUAUACUAAGGCGUAAAAAAUAAUGGUAUAGUAAGGUAUAAAAAGGUCAUAGUAUAGGAUGGCAUAAAAACAUCAUAGUAUAGUAGGGCAAAAAAAUUAUAAAACUGACAUAGUAUAGUAAGGCAAAAAAGUAUGUCAUAAAUACGUAAUAGUAUAAGGAUGGAAUAAAAACGUCAUAGUAUAGUAAGGCAAAAAAAGUCAUGGUAUUGUAAGGCAUAAAAAUGUCAUAGUAUAGUAAGGCAUAAUGAGUCAUAAAAAUGUCAUGGUAUACUAUGGCAUAAAAACGAAUAAAAACGUCUCAGUACAGUACAGCAUAAAAACGUCUUAGUAUAGGAUGGCAUGAAAACGUCAUAGUAUAGUAAGGCAAAAAAAGUUAUAAAAACAACAUAGUAUAGUAAGGCAUAAAAAUGUCAUGGUAUACUAUGGCAUAAAAACUCAUAAAAACGUCACAGUAUAGUACAGCAUAAAAACGUCCUAGUAUAGGAUGGCAUGAAAACGUCAUAGUAUAGUAAGGCAAAUAAAGUUAUAAAAACGACAUAGUAUACUAUGGCGUAAAAACUAAUAAAAACAUCAUAGUAUAGGAUGGCAUAAAAAGUCAUAAAAAUGUGAUAGUAUAGUAAGUCAUAAAAAGUCAUAAAAACGUCAUAGUAUAAUAAGGCAUAAAAAGUCACAGUAUAGUAAGGGAUAAAAACAUCAUAGUAUAGUAAGGCAAAAAAGUAUGUCAUAAAAACGUAAUAGUAUAAGGAUGUAAUAAAAACGUCAUGUAUAGUAAGGCAAAAAAAGUCAUGUCAUAAAAAUAAAAUUAAGGCAUAAAAAUGUCAUAGUAUAGUAAGGCAUAAUGAGUCAUAAAAACGUCAUAGUAUAGUAAGGCUGAAAAGGCAUAAAAAUGUCAUAUGAUACUAAGGCAUAAAAUGUCAUAAAAAGCGUCAUAGUAUAAUAAGGCAUAAAAAGUCACAGCAUAGUAAGGGAUAAAAACAUCAUAGUAUAGUGAGGCAUAAAAAGUCAUAAAAACGUCAUAGUAUAGUAAGGCAUAAAAAUUCCUAAAAACGUCAUAUUAUAGUAAGGCAUAAAAAAUCAGAUAAACGUCAUAUUAUAGUAAGGCAUAAAAAGUCAUACUAUAGUAUGGCAUAAAAACGUCAUAGUAUAGUGAGGCAUAAAAGGUCAUAAAAACGUCAUAGUACAGUAAGGCAUAAAAAUGUCAUAGUAUAGUAAGGCAUGAAAAGUCAUAGUAUAGUAAGGCAUUAAAACGUCAUAGUAUAGUAAGGCAUAAAAAGUCAUAAAAAUAUCAUAGUAUAGUAAGGCAUAAAAAGUCAUAAAAACGUCAUAGUAUAGUAAGGCUGAAAAGGCAUAAAUAUGUCAUAUGAUACUAAGGCAUAAAAUGUCAUAAAAAGUCAUAGUAUAGUGAGGCAUAAAAAGUCAUAAAAAUGUCAUAGUAUAGUAAGGCUGAAAAGGCAUAAAAAUGUCAUGAUACUAGGCUUAAAAAGUCAUAAAAAACGUCAUAGUAUAAUAAGGCAUAAAAAGUCACAGUAUAGUAAGGGAUAAAAACAUCAUAGUAUAAUGAGGCAUUAAAAGUAAUAAAAACGUCAUAGUAUAGUAAGGCAUAAAAGGUCAUAAAAACGUCAUAGUAUAGUAAGGCAUGAAAAUUCCUAAAAACGUCAUAGUAUAGUAAGGUAUGAAAAUUCCUAAAAACGUCAUAGUAUAGUAAGGCAUAAAAAAUCAGAAAAACGUCAUAUUAUAGUUAGGCAUAAAAAGUCAUAAAAAUAUCAUAGUAUAGUAAGGCAUUAAAACGUCAUAGUAUA